GACGAACCGUGCGAACGUUAUUCGGAAUCACUGGGCUUAAAGCGCGUGUAGGCGGGAGGGCCCGUCCGUCGCUGAAAUCCCCCGGCUCAACCGGGGAACGGGCGCGGAUACGACCUUCCUGGAGGGGCGUAGGGGGACCUGGAACUUCCGGUGGAGCGGUGAAAUGCGUUGAGAUCGGAAGGAACGCCCGUGGCGAAAGCGAGGUCCUGGACGCCUGCUGACGCUGAGACGCGAAAGCCAGGGGAGCGAACGGG
rnacentral:rRNA from 1 species